GUGAAUCAUCGAAUUUUUGAACGCAAAUUGCACUCUCUGGUAUUCCGGAGAGUAUGCCUGUUUGAGGGUCAGUUUAAAUAAAAUUCGGUGUGGUUGCUGCCUUUCGUGGUGAUGCAUCGGAUUUGGGUCGUCUUGGCUUCGGUUAAGUGACCUGAAAUUUUUCAUGAUUUUUGUGAUCGUAUUUUAUUGAUUUUACGUUCGUUAGCGAUAUUGAAUAUUAUGAGUGGUUUUCCUAAUGAUUCGCGA
rnacentral:misc_RNA from 1 species